rnacentral:rRNA from 1 species
GAUGAACGCUGGCGGCGUGCCUAAUACAUGCAAGUCGAGCGAACGGACGAGAAGCUUGCUUCUCUGAUGUUAGCGGCGGACGGGUGAGUAACACGUGGAUAACCUACCUAUAAGACUGGGAGAACUUCGGGAAACCGGAGCUAAUACCGGAUAAUAUUUUGAACCGCAUGGUUCAAAAGUGAAAGACGGUCUUGCUGUCACUUAUAGAUGGAUCCGCGCUGCAUUAGCUAGUUGGUAAGGUAACGGCUUACCAAGGCAACGAUGCAUAGCCGACCUGAGAGGGUGAUCGGCCACACUGGAACUGAGACACGGUCCAGACUCCUACGGGAGGCAGCAGUAGGGAAUCUUCCACAAUGGGCGAAAGCCUGACGCAGCAACACCGCGUGAGUGAUGAAGGUCUUCGGAUCGUAAAACUCUGUUAUUAGGAAAGAACAUAUGUGUAAGAAACUGUGCACAUCUUGACGGUACCUAAUCAGAAAGCCACGGCUAACUACGUG